GACGAACGCUGGCGGCGUGCUUAACACAUGCAAGUCGUACGGUAAGGCCCUUUCGGGGGUACACGAGUGGCGAACGGGUGAGUAACACGUGAGUAACCUGCCCACCACUUUGGGAUAACGCUAGGAAACUGGUGCUAAUACUGGAUAUGUGCUCCUGCUGCAUGGUGGGGGUUGGAAAGCUCCGGCGGUUGUGGAUGGACUCGCGGCCUAUCAGCUUGCUGGUGGGGUAGUGGCCUACCAAGGCGGCGACGGGUAGCCGGCCUGAGAGGGUGACCGGCCACAUUGGGACUGAGAUACGGCCCAGACUCCUACGGGAGGCAGCAGUGGGGAAUAUUGCACAAUGGGCGCAAGCCUGAUGCAGCAACGCCGCGUGCGGGAUGACGGCCUUCGGGUUGUAAACCGCUUUCAGCAGGGACGAAGCUUUUUGUGACGGUACCUGCAGAAGAAGCACCGGCUAACUACGUG
rnacentral:rRNA from 1 species